GCUAAUAAUAAUCAAUUUGCAGCAAACUCCUCUCUCUCUCUCUCUCUCUCUCUCUCUGUGUGUGUGUGUGUGUGUGAGAGAGAGAGAGAGAGAGAGAGGGGCCUUUUGUAAAACAGAUAAAGAUU